AGUCUGGUGCCAGCAGCCGCGGUAAUUCCAGCUCCAAGAGUGUAUAUUAAAGUUGUUGCGGUUAAAAAGCUCGUAGUUGGACUGCAAGUUGAAGUGUGAAGUCCCCGGGGACGUUGUUCUCGGGAUCAAGGCUUUUGCUCUUCUUCUAGGAAAUUUGACGCAAAAACACGGGGUUCUCCUCGUGGUCAGGUUAGUUUUACUUUGAAUGAAUUAGGGUGUUCAAAGCAGGCGAAUCGCCGUGAAUACAUUAGCAUGGGAUAAUAAAAUAUGACAUUGGUCUAAUACUUAUUGGUUUCUGAGGCCAGAGUAAUGAUUAAAAGGGACAGUUGGGGUCGCUUGUAUUCAGUGGUCAGAGGUGAAAUUCUAGGACCCACUGAGGACAAACAAAUGCGAAGGCAUUCGACAAGGAUGUUUUCAUUAAUCAAGAACGAAAGUUGUGGGAUCGAAGAUGAUCAGAUACCGUCGUAGUCACAACCGUAAACUAUGUUGACUUAGGAUUGGGGGAUGUUAAUAGAUGACUCUCCUAGCACUAUGUGCGAAAGCAUAAGUAUCCAAACUCCGGGGGGAGUAUGGUCGCAAGGCUGAAACUUAAAGGAAUUGACGGAAGGACACCACCAGGAGUGGAACCUGCGGCUUAAUUUGACCCAACACGGGGAAACUCACCCGGUCCGGACAUUGUAAGGAUUGACAGAUUGAUAGCUCUUUCUUGAUUUGAUGGGAGCCGGUGCAUGGCCGUUUUUAGUUGGUGGAGUGAUUUGUCUGGUUAAGUCCGAUAACGAACGAGACCUCAAUUUGCUAAAUAGGAUGCUUCACAGGGUGGUCUUCUGGCUUGUCGGGUUUCGGCUCGGCUUGUUGGGGGGUUGCCGUUUUGUUGUGGGGCAAAUUUUACCUCUUAGAGAGACAGUUAACAAGAAAGAUAGUUAAAGGAGGCUUGAGGCAAAAACAGGUCUGUGAUGCCGCUAGACGCCCGGGGCUGCACGCGCGUUACACUGAAAUUUUCAAUAAGUAUGAAUAAUUUUACCUUGCCCGAGGGGGUUUUGGUAAUCUAGAAAAGCAUUCGUGAUGGGGAUUGUAUAUUGAAACUAUUACACAUAAACGAGGAAUUCCUAGUAGGGGCAGGUCAUCAACCUACCCCGAUUACGUCCCUGUCCUUUGUACACACCGCCCGUCGCUUCUACCGAUCGAGCUACUCGAUGAAAACUCGGGAUUCGAUGAUUUGUCUGCCGCAAGGUGGGUGGUUGUUGGAGAACCUGUUUGAAUCUCGCAGCUUAGAGGAAGAAGAAGUCGUAACAAGGUAACUGUAGGUGAACCUGCAGUUG
rnacentral:rRNA from 1 species